CUAUCUAAAAAUUUGUAGAUGUAUUUAUUAUUAUUUUUUCCAACGUACCCCUCACAUAUCUUGAAAUAUAAAAACUUAACAUUAAAUCUAUCUAUAUACAAGAGACAAUUUAGUAAAACAUACAUACAUUUGUGACAAAUUUAUUACUUCAACAACCGAUAAUUUUUAUAAAUUAAUUCUAUGAAAAGGACGAAGAGAGUAGUAAAGAUCCAAAUGGUCGUGUAAGAAAUUUUAGCUAUAUUAUUUAUCUAGAAUUCAACAUUGGAUAGUAUGUCACCUUACACGAAUAGCGAUAAACAAGAAACACUAAGAGGGGCAAUCCUCUGAUUUCCACAGCCAAAUCUUGAACUGCAUCAUUGUCAUGACCAACACAUAUUCCUCAUGCAAUUCUUUAAUCUCUAGUCAAGUUGAAACAAUUGAAAUAAAACGAAUUGUGGGAUUGUUAUUCUUAUAACUGUAAAACCGAAGAAGGAACUGCAUCAUUGUUUUGGUGUAGAAUCCAGGCAAGGAUUGUUAGAUUGAAGAUUGAAAUGAUGUUCAAUGAUUGAUAUUUGGGCUACCUUUGGAAAAUCCUUUUUAUAAACACUUUUAUUUUUCGAAUCACUUGCAUGAAAAUUAAGUUAA
rnacentral:lncRNA from 1 species